GCGCCAGUGGUUUUGUGGUAAAAUCCAUCGUUGCCAUCGAUGGGCCCCGCGUUCGAUUCGCUGCUGGCGCA
rnacentral:tRNA from 1 species